GGGAAUGUAGAUCACUGGUACAGCGCAUACCUAGCAUGAGCGAGGCCCUGAGUUCAAUCCCCAGCAUUACAA
rnacentral:tRNA from 1 species